AGUGAACGCUGGCGGUGGGCCUAACACAUGCAAGUCGAACGGCAGCACAGUAAGAGCUUGCCCUUACGGGUGGCGAGUGGCGGGGGGGUGAGGAAUACAUAGGAAUCCACUUUUACGUGGGGGAAAACGUGGGGAAACUGCCGAUAACACCGCAUAAGAUCUACCGGUGAAUGCAGGAGUUCUUCGGACCUUUUGUGUUUGUUUUAGAUGACGCCGGAUUAGCUAGUUGGAAAGGUAACGGCACACCAAGGCAACGAUGCGUAGCCGAGCUGAGAGGGUGAUCGGCCACACUGGAACUGAGACACGGUCCAGACUCCUACGGGAGGCAGCAGUAGGGAAUCUUCCGCAAUGGGCGAAAGCCUGACGGAGCAACGCCGCGUGAGUGAUGAAGGUCUUCGGAUCGUAAAACUCUGUUAUUAGGGAAGAACAAAUGUGUAAGUAACUAUGCACGUCUUGACGGUACCUAAUCAGAAAGCCACGGCUAACUACGUG
rnacentral:rRNA from 1 species